UGUAUGUAUUUUUAUAUAUUUGUAUUAUUGAUUUGUUGUUGAUUAAAUAAGGAAUAAAUUAUUGAUUUAUUUCUCUUAUACUACAAAUAAGAUUUUUCCCCUUUGAAUAUACGUGUUCAUUGAUGUAUUUGUAUGUAUAUUUAAAAGUAUAAAAAAAUUUUAGCUUCGAUGCCUUUUUCAAAAAGGUAACGCCUCGCCUCUCGCCUAAGGAGAUAGGUACCCUUUCGCCUUAGUAUAGCCUCUUGUUUUAGGUUCAUCAUUUUUGGUAUUAGUGCUCUGCCACAAAUAAAUUAAUUCUCAUUUAGCUAUUUUAUUUAUUUUUGUUGUUUAUUUCAAGUUCUUUCUUGUUUGCUUUAUUUAGCAAAAGAAAAAGAAAAAGAAAUAUAUUUAGUUUUGUUUUAAGAGGGAAAAAAUGUUCAGUAAAAGUAGUGGAGAUGGUUGUAGAAACUUCAAUGCAUCAUGUGAGAGAUGUAUAAUAGAGUUCAAUGAUGGUAUGAAGAUCAUGGAGAGAGCUUUCCGCUCAUGAGAAGGAGCAGCCUAAACAUGAUGAAGAUGAUGAUCCAAAUCAAAGUUCGGAAAAUUGCCAUGAUGAAGAAAUCAAAGGUGAUGAUCCUGUGCAUAGUUUGGAUACAAUCGAAAUUUAAGUUGCUUUUGAAAUUGUUGCAUAAGACAGUUUCGGUGUGAAAUUGGAUGAUGGGCAUCGGGUUUAGUCUUCAGGAGUUUGCCGAAGUAUCAAGAUUGAUGUGGGUGAUUUGGAAAUUAAGGCUGAUCGUUUCCGAUUUCCUCUAGGAGGACAGCCUGUCGUCUGCUCACAUUGAAGGAUGUGGAUGCCACUAAUUUCUCAACCCAUAGAAAGCUCUUCUCUAAGUGCCGAGAUUAAUAAGGAACAACAGUUUCAAGUACAAAAACUGCUCAGCUCCUUCGAUAAAGUGUUUGGAGAAGUUACUAGUCUACCUCUAAAUAGACCUACUGCAUAUGUAAUUCCAUUGGUGUUGGGUGUAAUAGCAGUAAAUGUUCAUCCGUAUCGCUACGGUCACUUUGAGAAGAAUGAAAUUGAAAAGUUAGUCGGGGAGAUGUUAACUGCAGGAAUUAAGACCCAAUACCAGUCCCUUCUCGAGUCCAGUUCUCUUGGUUAAGAAAAAAGAUGGAAGCUGGAGAUUUUACGUGAAUUACCGGGCAUCAAACAAGGCGACCAUUCCUCACAAAUAUCUUGUUCCAGUUAUAAGCGAAUUGUUGGAUGAAUUACAGGGGCAAGGUAUUUCUCCAAGCUGGACCUAAAAUCUGGGUACCAUCAAAUUCGGGUCAAGGAAUCUGAAAUUUCAAAGACAGCCUUUCGGACUCAUUCAGGACAUUAUGAGUGCAUUCAGAACUUAUAAGAGACUGGCAUCCAAUCUCUUUUGGCUAGGAAUGAUGAAGAUGGUGCAGAAAUUUGUAUCUGAAUGCCUUGUACGCCAGACGCAUAAAUAUGAAACACUUUUUCCAGCCGGUUUAUUACAAUUUCCAAUAUCAAUGAGAGUUUGGGAAGACAUAGUAAUGGACUUCAUCACUGGGCCCCCUACUUCACAGGGGGCUGAUGCAAUUUUAGUGGUAGUUGACAGAUAUUCAAAAUAUGCAUAUUUUAUUGCAUUGAAACAUCCUUAUUCGGCGAAAACAGUAGCCGAGGAAUUUAUGAAAGAAAUUGUCUGACUACAUGGUAUGCCACGAACAAUUGUAAGUGAUCAUGACCCUAUUUUCGUGAGCUAUUUUUGGAUUGAGCUUUUUCGUCUUUAAGGCAUCCAAUUAAGGAUGAGCACCGUUUAUCACCCUGAAACGGAUGGACAGACAGAAGUUUUGAAUCGUGGGUUGAAAACCUAUCUGAGGUGCUUUUCAUCUGAGCAACCGAAGCAGUGGCAUAAGUGGCUAUGUUGGGCAGAAUUUUGGUACAAUACAAGCCAUCAUACAGCUGCUGGGAUGACUCUAUUUGAAGCAAUUUAUUUUAGUGCACCACCAACGCUACACCCGAAGUAGUAGCGCAAGAGCUAAGCACCGGAGAUGAGUUAUUAAGGCAACUAUCUUACAAUCUCAAACAUGCUCAGCAGCGGAUGGUCAGAGCUGCAAAUAAAAUCGCAUAGAACUGGAAUUCCAAGAAGGUGAUUUGGUAUUUUUGAAAAUCAAACCUCAUCGACAAACAUCUAUGAAAGGAGUAAUUCAUACUAAAUUGGCAGCUCGUUACUUUGGACCAUUUAAAAUCAUCCAAAAAGUAAGAAAGGUGGCAUAUCGUUUGCAAUUACCCGAAGAAGCAAGAAUACACCCUGUUUUUCAUGUAUCACAAUUGAAGAAAGUGGUCGGUCUCACCCCAUCACCAAAGAACUACCCAAAGACUUGUUGGUUGAUGAGCUUCCAAUUGAGGAAGGGAUGCAAAAUGGAUUAGUUGUUGGUUAAAUGGAAAAAUAAGCCCAUUGAAGAAGCCACCCGAAUGAACUACUAUGAUUUUGUAAAUCAAUUUCCAGCCUCCAGCCUUCAGGACAAGGCUGUCUUUCAGAAGAGAAGCAUCGAUAGCAACAGCCCAUCUAGUGAUCCAGGAAGCGUGAACCAUGGGCUGAAACCCUUGAGAGUUUACUACAAAAGAAAUGUUAAAGGAAAGGGUAGCAUAAUUUCCAAAUGAAGAUUCCAGAGUUGCCAAGUUGGAAAUGGACAAAAUAGGUGGUUAUCAGGUUUGAGUGAUUCUCAGAUAGCACCUGAAGAGAAAGAAUCUUUAUUUGUUUUAUAAAUAAUUAGUAGUAGAAGAGGAGGAGGGUAAGUUGUGAUUUUCUCUUCUAGACAGCCAUUGCUGGGCUAGCUUGGCUAGAGUAUUUCUGUUUUCUUAUGCUGUGGAACCUUUUUGAGAAGGGAAAUUGCCAUUGAAAUCAAAAUUCAGUUUAUCUUUCCAUCUUGUUAUUGAUAAUUGCUCUUAACUCUAUCGUGAUGAUCCUGUGCAUAGUUUGGAUGCAAUCGAAAUUUAAGUUGCUUUUGAAAUUGUUGCACAAGACAACCAGUAUGGAGAUGAGUACAUGUAUAUUGAUAAUUUUUUUACUAUUAUGUUUGUAAAUUUGAAGAUGGAUCAUCUUGAGGAGGGAGGAAUAGAUCCGUGUAGAAGGGGAGUAAUAAUUUUCAACAACUAGAAGACUCCAAAUGAAUAUCAUGCUAGGAAAACAAGGAAGUGUGCAAAGAAGGAUAUUCGCAGCAUGAUUUCAACAAAACGCAUUAAAAUGCAAGAGAAAUCAAGGAAAACAAGUUACUUGGCUUUCCAUUGGUUUGCCUUGUGCUUUGGACGAUUGUCCCAUGUAAUAAUAUGGUUUAAGAAGCUCGGAUGUCAAGAAUAACAAACAACAUUGUCUGAAGGCUCAAAACAUGACCCAAGAUGCAUGACCUCGCGUUCUAUAAUGUGGCGAAUUUGGAGUUUGAAUUAAUUUGGCUUCAAUAUUAUUUACUAUUUUUAGGCCUAUUAUAUUAGUAGUGUAUGGUUAUUUUGCUUAUUUUGGUUAGAUUAGACUUAAUUUUCCUAGUUUAAGUAAGGAAAUAUUGUUUUUUUUUUUUUUUAAUUUUUAUUUCUACUAGGAUCAGGCUUUCAAAACACUACAAAUAGGUGGAUGACCCUAAUAUUAUGUUUAUGACAAUGGAGACUUUUGUUCUUCUAUUUUUAAUACAAAGAUGAGUUUUGUUUGUGUUGCA